rnacentral:rRNA from 1 species
AGGCGAACGUUAGCGGCGGGCCUAACACAUGCAAGUCGAACGAGAAUAGGGGAGCAAUCCCCUUAGUAAAGUGGCGGACGGGUGCGUAACACGUGGGUAAUCUACCUUCCGGCGGGGGACAACAGUCCGAAAGGACUGCUAAUACCGCAUACGUCAGCGAGGUCUACGGGCCUUGCUGGGAAAGAUGGCCUCUCCUUGGAAGCUGUCACCGGAAGAUGAGCCCGCGUCCCAUCAGCUAGUUGGCGAGGUAAUGGCUCACCAAGGCUUAGACGGGUAGCUGGUCUGAGAGGAUGAUCAGCCACACUGGGACUGCGACACGGCCCAGACUCCUACGGGAGGCAGCAGUGGGGGAAUAUUGGGCAAUGGGCGAAAGCCUGACCCAGCCACGCCGCGUGAGUGAUGAAGGCCUUCGGGUCGUAAAGCUCUGUGGGGAGGGACGAAUAAGUGCCGCACAAACAAUGCGGUGCCCUGACGGUACCUCCUUAGCAAGCACCGGCUAACCAUGUGCCAGCAGCCGCGGUAA